rnacentral:rRNA from 1 species
GUACACGCUGUGACUAGCAUAUCAAUAAGCGGAGGAAAAGAAACUAACAAGGAUUCCCCUAGUAACGGCGAGUGAAGCGGGAAGAGCUCAAAUUUGAAAUCUUAAAGGGUUUCCCUUUACGAAUUGUAGUUUAAAGAAGUGUUUUCUGUUGAGGUUUUGGUAAAAGUUCUUUGGAAUAGGACAUCAUAGAGGGUGAGAAUCCCGUAUUUGACCUUUACUUUCAACUUUGUGAUACACUUUCAAAGAGUCGGAUUGUUUGGGAAUGCAGUCCAAAAUGGGUGGUAAAUUUCAUCUAAAGCCUAAAUAUUGGCGAGAGACCGAUAGCGAACAAGUAGCCGUGAGGGAAAGAUGAAAAGAACUUUGAAAAGAGAGUUAAACAGUACGUGAAAUUGUCAAAAGGGAAGCGUUUGACACCAGUGUUGUUUUUCUGAAAAUCAAUUAAAGAACUGUUUAUGCUAAGCUUGUUUAGACUUUAUCAGCUAUCUGUUUAGUUUUGAGCUUUUCUUUAAUGCACUUUUCAGUUAACAAGUCAACAUCAAUUUCUUUUGCUGUAAAAAAGCUUGAGGAAGGUGGCUUGAGAUUCGUCUUAAGUGUUUAUAGCCUCUUGCCUAUGCAGUCGGAGAGAUUGAGGUCUGCAGCGUAGAUCCUUCGGGGCUAAAUGCAUUUGUGCUAAGUUAUAGCAUUUUAUAGACAACUUGUUGACUAUGAUUUGUCUUGUAGCUUACUCGCUUAUGUUAUUUUACCUACGCUUAGGAUGUUGAAGAUGUAGCACAUCAU